CGUGCAGGGGCUGCUGCCACGGUCUCGGGAAAGUCCGUCUGAUUGUGCACGCAUUCUUGAGGGCUUGGUCACCGCUGCGGCCCGCUCCGGUAGCAGCAUAGUUUUCCAAAACAAAGACUGUUACAGUCCAGCUGUGUUUCUGCAAGGUAUGAGAAAGCAAUGCUGGCCUCCAGAUGACGAGAACAGACACUUCGGAUCCUGGGAAAAGCUUAGGGAACCCACUGAUGAAUGGAUUAUAAUGGAUUGUACAUUCACACGCCCAAAUUGCAGCAAGGAAACUGAACAAGCUAACAAGUUUCUUUGUGCCCGUCAACCUGUUGAUCUCCCUGUUCCUAACCCUGUCCAGAAGUGUGGAAGCUCAAAAUGUUCUAAUGUCCAGAUCAGAAAGUGGGGUUGGUAUGAUACUGAUGGCAAAUGUCUCCAACAUCACAAGUCCUGCGAAGAGCCCUGGAUCUGGUUGAAACUUCCUGUAGGAUGAGAAGCACUGAGAGAGAAC
rnacentral:lncRNA from 1 species